rnacentral:rRNA from 1 species
CCUACGGGAGGCAGCAGUGAGGAAUAUUGGGCAAUGCCCGAAAGGGUGACCCAGCAACGCCGCGUGGAGGAUGAAGUCCUUCUGGACGUAAACUCCUUUUAGAGGGGACGAAAAGCCCGAUUUGUCGGGAAUUGACGGUACCCUCAGAAAAAGCACCGGCUAACUACGUGCCAGCAGCCGCGGUAAUACGUAGGGUGCAAGCGUUGUCCGGAUUCACUGGGUGUAAAGGGUGCGCAGGCGGGCUCUUAAGUUAAAGGUGAAAUCUCUCGGCUUAACCGAGAAAUUGCCUUUGAUACUGAGAGCCUUGAGUACGGGAGAGGGUGAUGGAAUUCCUGGUGUAGCGGUGAAAUGCGUAGAUAUCAGGAAGACCACCGGUUGCGAAGGCGGUCACCUGGCCCGUUACUGACGCUCAGGGACGAAAGCGUGGGGAGCAAACAGGAUUAGAUACCCCGGUAGU